rnacentral:tRNA from 2 species
UCUAAUAUGGCAGAUUAGUGCAUUGGAUUUAAACCCCAAAAAUAAAGUUUAAACUUUUUUUAGAA